rnacentral:misc_RNA from 1 species
UCUGUAUAAAAUUUUCUGCAAAUUUCUGAAAAACCAUCUUUUUUAUUCAAGUUCAAAAGAGGUGCUUUAAAUUGAACAAAGUGUUUUCUGUCAGAUCCUUAUUGUACUAGUUGUUCUGUCUCUAUGUGGAAAUCCAUUUCAAAUGUCAUCACAAGCUUUGGCCAGAAGAAGGAUUCUGCUACGCCCAGUCAAACUUGUCACGAGUACUCAGAUGACGAUGAUAUCCGCUCUAAUGACAGCACUGAGGAAGGACUAGAAUGCCCAAUAUGUUGGGAAUCAUUUAACAUUGUUGAGAAUGUUCCCUAUGUAUUGUGGUGUGGCCACUCUCUUUGUAAAAAUUGUCUGUUGGGACUUAAAUCGGCUUCCGUGAAGAUAUCCACCCAACAAAUCCAGAUUCCAUUGUUCGUUUCCUGCCCAUGGUGUAAUGUGCUGACACUUCGAUUGUUUUACCAGGGAAAUCUCAAGUUUCCUAGCAAGAACUUCUUCCUCCUCUGGAUGGUGGAGAGCAGAAAUGGUGACAGGAUGAAGUCUCCAUCUGCCAUAUACAUGGAUCAAUUAAUGUGCUCCUCCCCUUGUACUUCAAAUACCAGGAACGCGAGUUCUGUUACGAACUGCAGGAGGGCUCAUCGUAUAGGAUCUUCGGGGUCUGGCACUAGUGGUCCUAAUACAAAUGAUACCCCUACAAUGCAAAGGACCCAGUUUUCUCUUCAGAAGUCCCUUGAUUUCUUUUUCCUGUUGACAUCCAAAUUUCCGUUGGUUGUUGCACUUCUUCUGGUUGUUAUAUUUGUGAUACCUUCCAGUGUGGGCAUCUUGAUUCUAUACCUGGUGAUCACAAUUCUUUUUGGACUUCCAUCUUUGCUAGUUAUAUACUUCGCUUAUCCUGCUCUAGAUUGGCUGGUGAGAGAGAUUACUUCUUGAAGUAUUUCUGUUCAAUUUGUUUGAGGAUUACUUUUUAGAGUUUCGAGGAUGUAAUACAUAGUACUGUUUGCACUAGUAAACAAUGUCUCAUCAGUUUGAUCUUAGUUUUCAUAUCAAGAGAUGGUGUAAAUAGUUGUUGGUUUUUGUGGAGGUUAAGGUUAAUUUUCCUUCAAAGUUUGUAUCUGCUAUUGUUAAUGGAUGAAUGAUAUCGCGG